rnacentral:tRNA from 1 species
GGCUACGUAGCUCAGUUGGUUAGAGCACAUCACUCAUAAUGAUAGGGUCACAGGUUCGAAUCCCGUCGUAGCCACCA